GUAACAGGGAAGGAGCUGGGACGGGUGGGGAAGGGGGUGACGACGUGGGGAUUUUCCCUGGUUAUAUUGUAUGUGAGUCCUACUGUUGAGCCUAUGUGAGUUUUACUGUUUUGCAUGAAUACUGCGUGUGCCUCAGUUUCCCUGUGUGCUGCACCAGUACCUCGGUGGUGGGAAUAGGGGCGUGUGACUUUGGCUGAGACC